rnacentral:rRNA from 1 species
GACGAACGCUGGCGGCGUGCCUAAUACAUGCAAGUCGAACGAACUCUGGUAUUGAUUGGUGCUUGCAUCAUGAUUUACAUUUGAGUGGGUGGCGAACUGGUGAGUAACACGUGGGAAACCUGCCCAGAAGCGGGGGAUAACACAUGGAAACAGAUGCUAAUACCGCAUAACAACUUGGACCGCAUGGUCCGAGCUUGAAAGAUGGCUUCGGCUAUCACUUUUGGAUGGUCCCGCGGCGUAUUAGCUAGAUGGUGGGGUAACGGCUCACCAUGGCAAUGAUACGUAGCCGACCUGAGAGGGUAAUCGGCCACAUUGGGACUGAGACACGGCCCAAACUCCUACGGGAGGCAGCAGUAGGGAAUCUUCCACAAUGGACGAAAGUCUGAUGGAGCAACGCCGCGUGAGUGAAGAAGGGUUUCGGCUCGUAAAACUCUGUUGUUAAAGAAGAACAUAUCUGAGAGUAACUGUUCAGGUAUUGACGGUAUUUAACCAGAAAGCCACGGCUAACUACGUGCCAGCAGCCGCGGUAAUACGUAGGUGGCAAGCGUUGUCCGGAUUUAUUGGGCGUAAAGCGAGCGCAGGCGGUUUUUUAAGUCUGAUGUGAAAGCCUUCGGCUCAACCGAAGAAGUGCAUCGGAAACUGGGAAACUUGAGUGCAGAAGAGGACAGUGGAACUCCAUGUGUAGCGGUGAAAUGCGUAGAUAUAUGGAAGAACACCAGUGGCGAAGGCGGCUGUCUGGUCUGUAACUGACGCUGAGGCUCGAAAGUAUGGGUAGCAAACAGGAUUAGAUACCCUGGUAGUCCAUACCGUAAACGAUGAAUGCUAAGUGUUGGAGGGUUUCCGCCCUUCAGUGCUGCAGCUAACGCAUUAAGCAUUCCGCCUGGGGAGUACGGCCGCAAGGCUGAAACUCAAAGGAAUUGACGGGGGCCCGCACAAGCGGUGGAGCAUGUGGUUUAAUUCGAAGCUACGCGAAGAACCUUACCAGGUCUUGACAUACUAUGCAAAUCUAAGAGAUUAGACGUUCCCUUCGGGGACAUGGAUACAGGUGGUGCAUGGUUGUCGUCAGCUCGUGUCGUGAGAUGUUGGGUUAAGUCCCGCAACGAGCGCAACCCUUAUUAUCAGUUGCCAGCAUUAAGUUGGGCACUCUGGUGAGACUGCCGGUGACAAACCGGAGGAAGGUGGGGAUGACGUCAAAUCAUCAUGCCCCUUAUGACCUGGGCUACACACGUGCUACAAUGGAUGGUACAACGAGUUGCGAACUCGCGAGAGUAAGCUAAUCUCUUAAAGCCAUUCUCAGUUCGGAUUGUAGGCUGCAACUCGCCUACAUGAAGUCGGAAUCGCUAGUAAUCGCGGAUCAGCAUGCCGCGGUGAAUACGUUCCCGGGCCUUGUACACACCGCCCGUCACACCAUGAGAGUUUGUAACACCCAAAGUCGGUGGGGUAACCUUUUAGGAACCAGCCGCCUAAGGUGGGACAGAUGAUUAGGGUG